GAAGGCUGGCGGCGUGCCUAACACAUGCAAGUCGAGCGGAGCUAUUAGCAAUAAUAGUUUAGCGGCGGACGGGUGAGUAACGCGUGGGCAACCUGCCUCACACUGGGGGAUAACACAGGGAAACUUGUGCUAAUACCGCAUAACAUCAUGAGAGGACAUCCUUUUAUGAUCAAAGGAGCAAUCCGGUGAGAGAUGGGCCCGCGUCCAAUUAGCUAGUUGGUGAUGUAACGGACCACCAAGGCGACGAUUGGUAGCCGAACUGAGAGGUUGAUCGGCCACAUUGGGACUGAGAUACGGCCCAGACUCCUACGGGAGGCAGCAGUGGGGAAUAUUGCGCAAUGGGGGAAACCCUGACGCAGCAACGCUGCGUGAAGGAUGAAGGUUUUCGGAUCGUAAACUUCUUUGAUGGGGGACGAAACAAAUGACGGUACCCCAAAAACAAGCCACGGCUAACUACGUGCCAGCAGCCGCGGUAAUACGUAGGUGGCGAGCGUUGUCCGGAAUUACUGGGUGUAAAGGGCGUGUAGGCGGGAAUGCAAGUCAGAUGUGAAAUCCGAGGCUUAACCUCGGAGCUGCAUCUGAAACUGUAUUUCUUGAGUGUCGGAGAGGAAAGUGGAAUUCCCAGUGUAGCGGUGAAAUGCGUAGAUAUUGGGAGGAACACCAGUGGUGAAGGCGACUUUCUGGACGAUAACUGACGCUGAGGCGCGAAAGCGUGGGGAGCAAACAGGAUUAGAUACCCUGGUAGUCCACGCCGUAAACGAUGGAUACUAGGUGUAGGAGGUAUCGACCCCUUCUGUGCCGGAGUUAACACAAUAAGUAUCCCACCUGGGGAGUACGGCCGCAAGGUUGAAACUCAAAGGAAUUGACGGGGGCCCGCACAAGCAGUGGAGUAUGUGGUUUAAUUCGAAGCAACGCGAAGAACCUUACCAGGGCUUGACAUGCAGGUGAAUAAGCAAGAGAUUGCUUAGUCUUUCGGGACACCUGUGCAGGUGGUGCAUGGUUGUCGUCAGCUCCUGUCGUGAGAUGUUGGGUUAAGUCCCGCAACGAGCGCAACCCUUGUUGUUAGUUGCCAUCAUUCAGUUGGGCACUCUAACGAGACUGCCGGUGACAAUCCGGAGGAAGGUGGGGACGACGUCAAAUCAUCAUGCCCCUUAUGUCCUGGGCUACACACGUACUACAAUGGCUAUAAC
rnacentral:rRNA from 1 species